AUUGAACGCUGGCGGCAUGCCUAACACAUGCAAGUCGAACGAGUGGCGGACGGGUGAGUAAUGUCUGGGAAACUGCCCGAUGGAGGGGGAUAACUACUGGAAACGGUAGCUAAUACCGCCUACCAUCGGAUUUGCCCAGAUGGGAUUAGCUAGUAGGUGGGGUAACGGCUCACCUAGGCGACGAUCCCUAGCUGGUCUGAGAGGAUGACCAGCAAAACUGGAACUGAGACACGGUCCAGAUCCCUACGGGAGGCAGAAGGGGGGAAUAUUGCACAAUGGGCGCAAGCCUGAUGCAGCCAUGCCGCGUGGAUGAAGAGGGCCUUCGGGUUGUAAAGUACUUUCAGCGGGGAGGCGUUACUCGAAGAAGAAGCACCGGCUAACUCCGUGCCAGCAGCCGCGGUAAUUC
rnacentral:rRNA from 1 species